rnacentral:lncRNA from 1 species
GAGAGCUUCUCAGUGCUGGGGCACGGCACGUUGCUCAGAUCAGCUUUCCCGGUGAGAGUAACAGAACGCGGAAGGAACUCUAAGAAGCCUAUUUAAAAAUGACUGACUAGCGGAUGUGAUAGAGAGCGAUUAUCAGGGUAGACCAUAAGCCUGUAACACAGAGGGGGUGGCCAAGCACAGCCCAGCUUUCGUCCCAAGGAUGCCAGCUAAACCAAGGAAAGGUGAACUGGAAUUUCAUGAUCUCUUAAAGUUUGGAGACAUGGGAAUGUGGGGGCUUCAACAGGAAGUCCUGCUCUCCUAAAGCCGGGAUCAGAAAAGGCCACACUCUCAGCAGAAGAGUAAAACCCCACCCUGAAACACAGGAUGGAUCCACGUGCUCCGGAUAAAAGGGAAGGUCGAAAAGCUAACAGAGUUCGGAUACAAAACAGAACAAAGACGAAACAAAAAGCUGCAGCCGAACCCUACCUGCUGCUCCAUGUUGAAAUCUGCCUCCUCAAGUCGGGAGCGAGACCAGAAGGAACACCCGAGACUCCGACAUCAGCGUCAGCUGCAGGGGCUCCCGGAAGGACAAGCCUGUCCCUGGAUGCUCAUAAGCAGAGUGGCUACAGUGCAGCAAGGAAACCUUCCAGCAAACACUGCACUUGGCACAGCCGCAGGUCACGUCCCUGCCCACCAGGACCUCUCUGUGAUAAGGGCCAACGAUGUUUCCAUUCCUGUUCAUGAAAUCACUUGGCGAUGAGUGAAAUCUGUGUGCGUUGUAACAACAAAUGACUGCAACAGAAAAUCACCAGAUUUCCAUCAUAACUCAAAUGCCAGCCAGGCUUGGUGGAUGGGCUCCUCGCUGAAAUCUCCAUAGCUGCAUAAUCAUUAGCAGUGAGAACAGUCACCUACACGUGAAAGAAUGACUAGAGGAAAACAAUUCACUCCACUUAAGCAAAGUGAUGCUCCCUUUGGCUAAUCUAAAUACCUUGGGGUUUUGCUAGGUCUUCUCCUUCCUCUCUUCUUCGAGUAGAUGAUGGAACUUUGAAAGCCAGCGUGGGAGAGCAUUACAUGGCUGGAUGAAAACUCUGCUGGGUUUACAGUGAGCUGGCUCAUUAUUCAGUGAAACCUCCAUCCUUAUUCAGCCUUGAAUAUUUAAAUCCAUACAGAUCGGAACUGUACUCCGGAGCCUGGGAACACCGUGCAAUGCGCUCUAAAUCCCUGCUUUCAUGCGCAUGAAAGACCCGUCAUUUUUACCCCUCCUACCAGCCUAAUUGACCGCAUUUCCGUGAACACUCGCUUGCUGGUUCCUAGCAAUGAAGACUGUGGGGUCCUUUCUUUCCAAGGUUGUGCUGGAAAGUGGAGAAGGUAAAGGGGAAAGCAACAGGCAGGCAAGGGGAAUCCGGGAGAAGGGACUCAUCUGCAGCAGUCAUGCCUCUCAUGGAAUCACAGGCCAGGCUAUGAGGAAGAAACGCGGGCUUUGCUCUCGGUCACCUAAUGACGCUUUGUCAUUUUUAAAGGGCAUUGCACUGUGAUUGCCAUGGAUACAUGAAAAGAUAAUGUGCUAUUUUUAGCAUGAAGCAUAAAAUAAAAUCCAAAGUUGGGCAAUAUGACCCUCACGCCUCCAGAG